UACGUAGGCAGCGAGCGUUGUUCGGAGUUACUGGGCGUAAAGAGUGCGUAGGCGGUGUUCCAAGUCUGUUGUGAAAUCUCCCGGCUUAACUGGGAGGGUGCGGCGGAAACUGGGACGCUGGAGUACGGGAGAGGUAAGCGGAAUUCCUGGUGUAGCGGUGAAAUGCGUAGAUAUCAGGAGGAACACCUGCGGUGUAGACGGCUUACUGGACCGUAACUGACGCUGGGGCACGAAAGCGUGGGUAGCAAACAGG
rnacentral:rRNA from 1 species